GAAAGGAAAACUUGGUAGCCACUUUUACUCGUGAUUUUGGUCGAUUUGGAGUUGGAUUUCGAAGAUGAUGAAGUUGAAGAAAAGAUAGAUUAAGGCAUAAUUUUAGCACUUGAAGGAGUCAUUUGGAGUCAUUUAGAGCUUGAGGAGUAGGAUUUGCAUUGCGAAAGUGAACUACGAAGUUGAAGAUCAAGAUAAAAUAAAUCAUCUUAGUAGCAAACAAGGAGGAGAUGACGUGAUUGAAGAAAUU